GAAAACUAAGAAGUUGUGACCU
rnacentral:snRNA from 1 species